GAACAAACUUUCAAUCCCAAGGAAAGCUAAAGGAUAAGUUAGUUUUGUAUAUGCUUAUGUCAGUCCUUGCUGCACUCUGAUUUGAGAGCUCCUGGAAAUGUCAGGGCUGGAAUUGAAUGCUGCACUCUGAUUUGAGAGCUCCUGGAAAUGUCAGUGCUGGAAUUGCAUCUAUUGCCUCUGAGGCACUGCAAGUCUUGGUCCGAUGCUGGCUCUUUCACUCCUUAGCUACUUGUGGUAACCAUGCUUACCUUGGCGUGGGGGUUGAUCAUUCAGGACCACUCGAAGAAAGAAGCAUAGGU